rnacentral:rRNA from 1 species
AGAGUUUGAUCCUGGCUCAGGAUGAACGCUGGCGGCGUGCCUAACACAUGCAAGUCGAGCGAUUCUCUUCGGAGAAGAGCGGCGGACGGGUGAGUAACGCGUGGGUAACCUGCCCUGUACACACGGAUAACAUACCGAAAGGUAUGCUAAUACGGGAUAAUAUAUAAGAGUCGCAUGACUUUUAUAUCAAAGAUUUUUCGGUACAGGAUGGACCCGCGUCUGAUUAGCUUGUUGGCGGGGUAACGGCCCACCAAGGCGACGAUCAGUAGCCGACCUGAGAGGGUGAUCGGCCACAUUGGAACUGAGACACGGUCCAAACUCCUACGGGAGGCUGCAGUGGGGAAUAUUGCACAAUGGGCGCAAGCCUGAUGCAGCCAUGCCGCGUGAGGGAUGGAUUGUAAACCUCUUUUGUUAGGGAGCAAGGCACUUUGUGUUGAGUGUACCUUUCGAAUAAGCACCGGCUAACUACGUGCCAGCAGCCGCGGUAAUACGUAGGUGGCAAGCGUUAUCCGGAAUUAUUGGGCGUAAAGCGAGCGCAGGCGGAUUUUUAAGUGGGAUGUGAAAUACCCGGGCUCAACCUGGGUGAUGGGAUGGAAACUGCCAAUCUAGAGUAUCGGAGAGGAAAGUGGAAUUCCUAGUGUAGCGGUGAAAUGCGUAGAUAUUAGGAAGAACACCAAUGGCGAAGGCAGGUCUCUGGGCCGUUACUGACGCUGAGGAGCGAAAGCGUGGGGAGCGAACAGGAUUAGAUACCCUGGUAGUCCACGCCGUAAACGAUGAAUACUAGGUGUGGGGGUUUCAACACCUCCGUGCCGCCGCUAACGCAUUAAGUAUUCCGCCUGGGGAGUACGGUCGCAAGAUUAAAACUCAAAGGAAUUGACGGGGACCCGCACAAGUAGCGGAGCAUGUGGUUUAAUUCGAAGCAACGCGAAGAACCUUACCUACACUUGACAUCCCUUGCAUUACUCUUAAUCGAGGAAAUCCCUUCGGGGACAAGGUGACAGGUGGUGCAUGGUUGUCGUCAGCUCGUGUUGUGAGAUGUUGGGUUAAGUCCCGCAACGAGCGCAACCCUUGUCGUUAGUUACUACCAUUAAGUUGAGGACUCUAGCGAGACUGCCUGGGUUAACCAGGAGGAAGGUGGGGAUGACGUCAAAUCAUCAUGCCCCUUAUGUGUAGGGCUACACACGUGCUACAAUGGCUGGUACAGA